AUAAGUACAAAGCGAACUAUUCUUUCGCCUUUUACUAAAGAAUACCGUGUACUUGUCACUUAUAGCGGCAUACGCCAAUUUUUUCCAAAAGGGUCUUCUUACGAGGGCCCUGUUAUUUAGUUUAAGUUUCUGAAAUUCAACGGUUAAAUUGUCAAUAACGGGCUUAAUAUAAGUAUUGGGCACUUUUUUGAAUCAAACCUUGUCCAACUUUGGGUAAGGUUAUAGGAAAAGAGCAGCAGUCUCAUACAAAUUGGUCUCAUAGUAUUUUUUAUCUUAACGAAAUUGGUUUAGAUACAACUUAUUGGAUCGGAGCAUGUGUAUAUAGGGUGAAAACUAGUCUUCUGCAAAUCUACUCCACUUGCACAUGGACGACAGAGUAAGAGUUGAUUCCCUAUAUCAACUUUUGUUUCAACAUUUUGCAUCAGACAACAAUUCAAUACAACAUCAUAUGGUUCUUAGCUGUGGUGUUGCAUGACAUCUCGGUGGCCAUGGUUUUGGUAGGGUGAAAGGAGCAAAUCAUGUACUCAGUUUGUAGGGUUCUCUGUAUGCAAUGCUUCUAUGAAUGAAAAAUUGGUGUGACUUGAGAAGACAGAGUAGUGUGUUCAUUUUCAUUAGUUCAUCCCAUUUUCAAUCAAAUUGGCCCUUUUUACAUGACAGGCUAGCGUGUGGCUAGAUAGAUGUCAUCAGCCAUUUGAUGUGCCAUCUUUGUCUUUGGUGUUACAUGACAUUAUCUAAUUGAAGAACAUUGACAAUUUACGAAUCCAGAGACUAUUUUAUUAUUUA